rnacentral:rRNA from 1 species
UUAAUCCGUAGGUGAACGGCGGAAGGAUCAUUAAAGAACAAACAUGCCUUCGGGCUCUGUUCUUCUCCCUUUGUUUACCACACUUAGUUGCCUUGGCGCACCCCGCCAGUGGAUCGAAACCCUUGAAUCAUUGCCGUCUGAGUACUAUAUUAUAGUUAAAACUUUCAACCAACGGAUCUCUUGGUUCUGGCAUCGAUGAAAAGAACGCAGCGAAAUGCGAUAAGUAAUGUGAAUUGCAGAAUUCAGUGAAUCAUCGAAUCUAUGAACGCACAUUGCGCCCUCCGGUAUUCCGGAGGGCAUGCCUGUUCGAGCGUCAUUACAACCCUAAGCUCUGCUUGGUGUUGAGCCCGCCCCGCUUACCCGGGGCUCGCUUCAAAAUCAGUGGCGGCCGCCGUGCGACCUUCAGCGCAGUAAUGCUCGUCGCUGUUAGGGAAGGGUGGCAAGCGCCGUCAUACCACCCCCACACAAGGUUGACCUCGGAUCAGGUAGGAUACCGCUGAACUUAAGCAUAUCAAUAAGCGGAGGA